rnacentral:rRNA from 1 species
UCACUCCUACGGGAGGCAGCAGUGGGGAAUAUUGCACAAUGGGCGCAAGCCUGAUGCAGCCAUGCCGCGUGUAUGAAGAAGGCCUUCGGGUUGUAAAGUACUUUCAGCGGGGAGGAAGGCAAUACGGUUAAUAACCGUGUUGAUUGACGUUACCCGCAGAAGAAGCACCGGCUAACUCCGUGCCAGCAGCCGCGGUAAUACGGAGGGUGCAAGCGUUAAUCGGAAUUACUGGGCGUAAAGCGCACGCAGGCGGUCUGUCAAGUCGGAUGUGAAAUCCCCGGGCUUAACCUGGGAACUGCAUUCGAAACUGGCAGGCUUGAGUCUUGUAGAGGGGGGUAGAAUUCCAGGUGUAGCGGUGAAAUGCGUAGAGAUCUGGAGGAAUACCGGUGGCGAAGGCGGCCCCCUGGACAAAGACUGACGCUCAGGUGCGAAAGCGUGGGGAGCAAACAGGAUUAGAAACCCGGGUAGUCC